CCCGGGUGCACCUGCGAGCGGUCAGCCCCAGCGUCUGCAGCCCCAGGGAGUGCCUGGCCAGCCGCAUGACGUAGAGAAUCCUCAAGGCACGGAGAAUACGGAGGACCAGACCUACUUUGUCCAGAUACCUCCUUUUGCAACACCAGUCCAAGUUGUCUUCCUCAAUUCCCCAGUAGAGCAGCUCCUCUUGGAAAGAGAGCGCACACAUCUCACGCAAGAGCCGAAGUUUUCCAACUCGCAAAAAGGUAGAAGAGUCAUCUUGGAAGAUAACUUCACAUCACUUCGCUACUUCUGAAAGUGUCUUCUGCAACAAAAAACAGAUACAUGGGGGCAUGUGCAUAAGGAAAACCUAAGGGAAUAUACAAGAAUGGACAAGGUGCGAUGCAGCAGACCUUCCAAGAGCUGUGGUACUAUUUUCUGGCCUGAGAUGAUGUUGGUUAGCAACAACUUAUCCUCUGAAUCUCAGCCAGAAAAAAUGAGGAGGCAGCUCAUCUCUGUCACUGGUUUGAUCUCCCACCGCAUCCAUAUUGUUGACACAAUGGGAAGAAAUGGGGAGAGGAAAAUGUAAAUGUUCUGCGUGUGUCAGACACAGGCUGUAACCCUGAGGCAUCAACUGUGAAACAACGGAGCAAAGAAAAAAGAAUAUCUUUCUUGGCUUCCAGCUUCUCGACCUGUGUAAGACAAUAAAUUGGACAAAUUAAUCCCCUGUGUAACACACUGAAUGACUGCAGUUAUAAAAGGUGGCUCCUUCUUUUUCCGUAACUAGAACUGGCAAGCCCACAGAUCGCACGUAGGCAGCUACAGUAUUUGAUGCUGUACAUGUGUUAUUUACAUGUUCUUUGCCUCGGACACACAUAGCAUCAUAUCUAAGGGGGAAGAAUAGGAGGAAAUAAAGGACAAUAGAAAAGAUGGCCUGGCUUGAAGGAAUGGAGGAAGGAGAAAAAUAAACCUAUACAUUUCCCCUGUAAGUUUCUUGGUUUCCUUUGGAAGCUGCUUCUGCAGAAUGGUGGCCAGCACUGUUUGAAGAUGGGAGAGAACUAAUUAAUGGAAGGGUUUUUUUGCCGUUCAGCUUAAAAAACAAGCAAACUGUUCCAUUCAUACAUUGCAGACUGAUGGCAUUGGGGAUGGCUGUAAGAAAUGCGUUAAGGAUUAAGACAACACCCUGGAAUAUAAGGUCAGACAAACACAUUAGCCUGUAUCAACAAUUUUCCCAACAAUUAAACAAGAUGAACUUUAAGGGUAUGCUGUAACAGUAAAACGCUCACAUAGAACUGCUCUGGUUAAGUAAGGCUCAGUGGUAAAAUCCCUCCUUGUCUGAGAUGGUCUUCUGCCCUUUGAAUGCUUGGGAGUUGGUGAAGCCCAGUUCAUCUUUCCAACUCCCCUGCUGCUAACGUGUUCUUAUCUUGGGCAAAUAAUUUCUCUCUCAGCAUCAUUUCCUGUUUUGUUUGUAAGCUUACUGGGGCAAGAACUGUCUCUUACUACGUUAUACAAUCCUGAUCACUGUUCUGGCUUCUAGAGACCACAGUAAUUCAGAAUAACUGGCCCAUAGCAAGAGCCCCUGGUGAUUCUAAAUGGUGUGGUGUAUAUUUUCAAAAAUCUGUGUGGCACAAGGUGGUAUUGUUAUCCAUGACGUUUGGUGAAGAAACACAUUUAGAAAUCUGUACUGCCCUUACUUUCAGCUGGUAAUUCAGGAAGGGCGCCAGACUGACUCCUAGGCAAUGGGGAGAAAAUUAUUAAAGAUGCCCUUCCGACAGAAAGAAACAGAAAUAAUAACACGUUAAAAUUCCACUGCAAGUAUCGUUCCCCCCCUCAGUGUCCUCUGCAGUAUUUUGAAUUCUGCAGUGCAUCUCUGAUGUAAUCAGAGCUCCUGCAAGGAGUCCUGAUACUGCUCGGUGAUGCAGACUAUUCAAAGUUGUGCCUGGAUGAUAACAAGCAUGCAACAAAGAUGCAUAACUCCCCCCUAGACUCUCCUAUCGAUUCCAGUGCCCAGAACUUGUCUUUGUUGCUUUUUACCAUUUGUAAAUUAAGGUUUAAAAAAAAAAAAAAGUUUCCGAUUUCAGUGCAGGCUGAACAUGAAUGCAGUGAUUUUUUUUGGAAAGACUUCCCUAAGAAACUGCUUUACAGUUUAGUGAUCCUUCCUCCUUUACUCUUUCCUUAGUUAAAAUAAGCAGUAUUUUCAAGCAGUGUUAAAUUCAGCUAUCUUCUGACACAUGAUUUCCAUACUGUAUCAACACUGUCAGGGGACUGACAUACUGAAAUACUUUCAGCUAUACUCAUGCAGCACUUUACGUAGUAAGAGCCCAUCUCCAACUUCAACUCUGCUCGCAAAGUGAACUUCCAGACAAAUCAAAGUAAAACUUACACAGGUCAAUGUACAAUAUGAAACAAAGCUAUCCUGAGAAAGGCAUAAUUUGAAAAAACAUGCUCGUAUCUGCACAUUGCUCUCCUUGAUCUGGACAGUGUUACACUUUUUGGCAUCUUAUGACAACCUACAGACUGAAUCACGACAAAUAUGUUACGCAGUGUUUGGGUUUACCAAGCUGAGCCUUAUUCUGCCGAUAAUAAUCAGAAGUGAAAGAACUUUGCAGUAACUUACAUCCCCAGGAGAACGCUCCAAAAUACAUUAGAACUAGUGACUGUUGCUAUUAUCUUGCUGUGAAAUAUAUUUAUGUCAACAAAUUUUAAUCUCACAUUCACAACAAUCUCUUCAACAUAUUUUUU